rnacentral:rRNA from 1 species
GUGAGGUAAUGGCUCACCAAGGCGACGACGGGUAGCCGGCCUGAGAGGGCGAUCGGCCACACUGGGACUGAGACACGGCCCAGACUCCUACGGGAGGCAGCAGUGGGGAAUAUUGCACAAUGGGCGAAAGCCUGAUGCAGCGACGCCGCGUGAGGGAUGAAGGCCUUCGGGUUGUAAACCUCUUUCAGCAGGGAAGAAGCCACCAGGUUUUCUUGGUGGUGACGGUACCUGCAGAAGAAGCACCGGCUAACUACGUGCCAGCAGCCGCGGUAAUACGUAGGGUGCAAGCGUUGUCCGGAAUUAUUGGGCGUAAAGAGCUUGUAGGCGGUUUGUCGCGUCUGCUGUGAAAUUUCGGGGCUCAACCCCGAACUUGCAGUGGGUACGGGCAGACUAGAGCGUGGUAGGGGAGACUGGGAUUCCUGGUGUAGCGGUGAAAUGCGCAGAUAUCAGGAGGAACACCGAUGGCGAAGGCAGGUCUCUGGGCCACUACUGACGCUGAGAAGCGAAAGCAUGGGGAGCGAACAGGAUUAGAUACCCUGGUAGCCCAUGCCGUAAACGUUGGGAACUAGGUGUGGGCCUCAUUCCACGAGGUCCGUGCCGCAGCUAACGCAUUAAGUU